UUUUCCUUAAUCUAGAAGAGUCCAGAAGCCACGGGAACGAACGGGAGACCGGACGGGCUCGGGGGCAGGGCGCCCGCCCUCCCCCCUUGGGUGCCCGCCCUGGCCUCGGGGCCAAUCAGAACCAAACUCUUGGAUCGUGAUCCACCGACCUAAAGGAUCAAAGAAAACCAUGCGAUCAAUGUCGGUUUGAUCCGACGGCCCAAAUUCACUUGAAAAGACUAUAUAAUCAAGGCCUCUCCACCCCUGGGGGAGAGAAGAGAAGAGAAGAAAUCAUUAUCAGAGGUAGCCAUCAAAGUUAGGGUUUAGGACUUCUCUCCCACAGAGAAUUAGAAUUAGCUACUCCCUAAUCCUUCAAGUUUAGAGGAUUGAUUAGAUAGAAUUAGAGAAGUAGAGCACUACGCUCUGGAUUCGGAUCUUCGGUAAUAAAGAUUGGUAUUAUUUCAUAUCUUUCUCUAAUACUUUGUUAUAAUUGCAUUAUGUCUCUAUUUAUUAUGCUCUUAGUUUGCUCUAGUUCUAUAUUUGAUAUAGUUAUGAUUGAUAAUGAGUUUAUGUAUAAGUUUGCAAAGCGCUUAGCUCUUGACACGUGGGAGUUAAGUGGUAGAUCACAUGUGGGCGUGGUGCUUAGAUGUUAUUUACCUGCAAAUGUAUCCUAUUGGCCGGGUAGUGUGGUAGUUCGUGAUAGUGACAGCUUCAUUGAUUCUUAUAUAGUCCAACCUCCGUUGAUAGGACUGGCAGAAUUUGUAUUGCGGAGUAAGUCUUGCGAUGCUCUGAUUUACUUUAGCAAUGUUCCUUAUACAUGAAUAAAGAGUCUUUUAUACUAUAUAUGAUCUUGUAGAUAACUAGAGUAGAUUGUGACUUAGUAGAUAGUAGAUAACUUAGAAUCCAUUCUCUAGCUAAUCCGACGUCACCUUACAUAUAUGAGGAGUAGUCUAUUUUCUAAUCGCUGUGUUAUUUACCCAUGAACUUAUAAUCCAUUAUCAUUAUCUUUAUGGUUUACCCCCUGCUAAAGUAAGUGACUGUGUGACGAGUUCCUCAUUAGUAAUCAUGUUCUUGCAAGUUUAUCUCUAGUCUAUGCCUUGAUAGGUUUAUCCUUAUCUUCAUUCAUUUAAUCCUUUUUUCUCCUAAGCAAAAUUAUAAAUAACGAUACCAGGAAUACUUACCUGGUGAAAUGCUACAAUGAGGUGUUUUAUCUGUGCGCUUGCGGAUAGAAUAGAUUAUUUUCUAGAGAGCCUCUAUAUUUAUAAAUAUCUUUAUACACUCUGGCACCAUGCUGGGGAUGACAACCUAGUAUCUAAGUGGUGUUAGCUAGUGUCAACAGCUGUCUAUCACUCUAUUGAGUACUCAUGCUCUGAUGGAACCAAAGAGGACGACGACGACAUUUGGGGCAUCGUUGGUGGGAAGGUAAACAAGAUGCUAUCAUGUCAUAACUCAUUCAUGGUGGAAGAAUUUUGUGUUUUAGUUUUUUUUAGUGGAUAAUUUCAGUGAAAUAUGGCAUAUGUAAAAAGCAACCUGAGAAUAACAGUAUUACAAGAUCUAGAAACAGAAGGGCAAAGUAUACUCAACUUUUGGGGAAACUUACACCUCAUUCAUUGCUAAUGCCUUGCAGAUGCACCAACGGGCUUGUACACAGAAUUUGUUGUCAAGGUUGUAGCGAUGUAAAACAGUUUGGGGAUUACCGGUAGAUGGCUGCAGCAACAGGUUGACAUAUAUAUAAUAACCAUUAUCAAGUAUAAUAGAUUGUUUUAGUUUUAUCAUAUUUUCAAAUUCAUAAGAUAGGUUGUUUAUCAUCUUUGAUGAAUGUGUGUUACCUUAGAUGUCGCCGUAGCGUUAGCACAGGUAAUAUACUAGUAUAUCUAUACUUAUCUAUAAAGAGGGAAAAUUUCAGUCUGCCCCUAAAUUUCUUCUGCCAAUUUGUCUGUGUCCUGUCCGUGUCCGGGUCGUUUGCUGAAAAAGGAGUACCUCUAUACCUAAUUUCAGCUGUUUUUUUGGCCUGAAAAUUUUUUGGUCUGUCUACUUAUAAGGAUAAGGAGAUUGGAUGUAAGAGGAACAGGAAGAAAAGAAUUCUCUCUCAAACCGGACUUUCCCAAAUCAAACUCUAUCAAACCGACCAGCAAAAUCUUGUCCAACAAAAUCCUCGUCCAGCCUCUUCGACAUACAGAAGUUGGAGACUAGAAUCCGUAUCCGUAUGUGAGCCAAAAAUAAUUUAUAAAAACAGGAAAUACUAGAGAGAUCUGAGAACCAAAUCGUAGGCCAUCAUGAUUUAGAUCGAGUCUAGAGCAAAAUACCAAAUCUAGGCUAUCAUAUAAAGAUUAGGAGAGAUCAGAGAACCAAAUCAAGCCCAUCACGGUUUAGAUCAAGACCAAAUAGAGUACAAUACCAAAUCAGAACCAUCAAAUAUACUUUAGAUCGAGACCAAACAUAGCAAACCGAGGCCAUCAACCAUGUAGCACAAAAAAUGAAGUAUAAACAGCCAGGGCCUCACCCGACGUCGUCUGCCACAAGGCCGCUAGCCGGCAACCUCCGCGCCCCCAUGGUUGGUCCCUUGCAGCCAAUGAGCCCGCGACCUCGAACGAUUGGCGGCCGGUGUGUAGAUACACCCUUCACCGGCUCUCCGCAUGCGCGGCACACUCGCGCUGCAGCCGGUUCCCGCUCUAGCUACUAGCGCCUGCGCGAUCGACGGCCAGCAGACCUACGCGGCCUCCGCACCUCGUGACUGUUUUCUCUGCGGGAGAGGGGGCUCGG
rnacentral:lncRNA from 1 species